UUGGCUUGCAGCUGGGGGCCGACUGCUCUCCCUGCCUCUUCCGGGCUCUCGGGACCGCGGGCGUUGGGACAGUGACAGGGGCUGGGGAGGUGGAGGGCUGGGGGGUGUGAGGCUCCGCCGGAGGCCCGCCGGGCGCGGGAAGCCGUUAGAAGCGAGCGUCGGGCCGCGCGGAGCUUGAGUCUUGGCAGGAGCAUGGCUGUCAGUGAGCGGGCGGGAGUUGGAGGCCGCCCGCCGCUUCCGCGCGGAGGCUUUCGUUAGGCGCGGGGCACCGGCCCAAGAGGUAGAGCAGGUGGACCCUUUGGCGGCAUUGAACCCGGGAGCUGGUACUAGACGGCCUCUCUGGUGAGAGUAAAAUCCACUGUGCCUUGGGCUUUCCUGGUGGCACAGUGGUUGAGAGUCCGCCUGCCGAUGCAGGGGACGCGGGUUCGUGCCCCGGUCCGGGAGGAUCCCACAUGCCGCGGAGCGGCUGGGCCCAUGAGCCAUGGCUGCUGAGCCUGCGCGUCCGGAGCCUGUGCUCCACAGCGGGAGAGGCCACAACAGUGAGAGGCCCGCAUACCGUAAAAACAAAACAAACAAACAAAAAAUCCACUGUGCCCUAGUUGUGCCUUCGUGCCUGGGUGACGGUAGCGGAGCCAUUAAAUAUUACUGAGCGCACACAGAAGUUCUCUAGAUACAUAUAUCCGAGGAAAAUGGUAAUCGGCGCGACCACCCAGCAUUAAAGAAGAGUCUCUGGAUCACUGAGACUCUUCUGAGGAAACCUACAUUAAGUCAUAGAAAAGGUCCAAAAUGUGCAACCGUAUCGCUUUUUGUGAGAAGUUUUGUUUUGCAGUGCCACGACUGGGGUUUGGGGGUGUUUUGUUUUUUCUGUUUGAGCACAUAGUUAUGCCGUUUGGAAAUUCAGGGACUGUGGAGAGGAGGACAGGCAUGCCUUAAAUAGAAUGAGGGCAACAGUAGAGCACUGAAAGCCCUAGGGAAGGAGACAGACUGCUUAUUUCUUAAAUUUAUUUAUUUAUUUUUGGCUGCAUUGAGUCUUCGUUGUUGGGUCUUUGUUGCGGUGCGCGGGCUUCUCGUUGCAGUGACUUCUCCUGUUGCAGAGCACGGGCUCUAGGCACGUGGGCUUCAGUAGUUGUGGCACGUGGGCUUAGUAGUUGUGGCUCCCGGGCUCUAGAGCGCAGGCUCAGUAGCUGUGGCGCAUGGGCUUAGUUGCUCCGCGGCAUGUGGGAUCUUCCCGGACCAGGGCUCGAACCCGUGUCCCCUGCAUUGGCAGGCGUAUUCUUAACCACUGUGCCCCCAGGGAAGCCCCUAAAGUGCUUAUUUUAAUAGAUAAAAUGAAAAUGUGGUCAGAGAGAAUUUGUGGUAGAACCUGAGCAUGCCAAGUUGCCAGGAAUUUGCAAAAGCCUUUAAUAUACAAUAAUUUCCGUUGCAAUAGAAAAACUUUAUACAGUUACUGAUGUACCAACUUAUGUUAGCCAGGGGGAAAAAGUUUACACACCUGGUUGAAUGUGUUUGCCAAUUAUAUUUAUUCAGUUUCCUGUUACAAAACCAGAACAUGGCCUGGAAAAUCCUCUUUGUUUACCUGUGACAUUAUUUCCAUGAAGAGUAAUCAUCCCAGAAACUAUUAGAGGCCCUUGGAAUAUAUUCAUCUGACCUAUUCUACCUACCCCAUUUAAAGGAUAGCAUCUGAAGAUUUAAUAGCAAAAAGCAGCUGAAGCAUUCCAAGCUGGAUAAUCAGAUUGUCAACUCUUGACUACUGACUGAGAGCUCAUUGUUACUCAGCAAACGAUGAAUAAAUGAGUGAGAAAUU